AUCUGCCAGCUUCCACAGUGG
rnacentral:miRNA from 1 species